UUAAAGUUAUAAUUUUUCAUGUUUUUCAAACAUUCAAAAUUUAAUCUAUGAUUUCAUAAGGUUUCUUAGUCAAUCCUUUUUAAUAACUUAUACCAUUUUUCUUAAACAAAAUCCUACGACAAAAUCUAGGAAAUUUGGGUGUUCGAUUUCCUAGAAUUCUUGAGGCAAGGGAUCACGCCUUUGGGUGUCCAAGAUUUGAUCCCAAGAAAAAAGAUGAUUUUAAUUAAUGUUUUUUAAAAAAUCUCUUUUUUAGAAGACUAUCCCUAUGACAGAUUUUGAGAAAUUGUAUUAAUUUCUCACUUUCUUAAGGUGAGAAGAUUUUCUUCAAUAUAGUCUAAUUGAUGGAAUGCUUUCCACUUAUUCUAUGAGAUCAUUGCUUCAAAUUUUGGAGUAAUGAGGGGUAAAAUAAGACAAUUAAAGAAUAUUUUCAAUAAUUCAAGAUUUGAAAUUUGGCUACCGUUUUCUAAACAGGUGUUGUGAGGUGCUAACACCUUCCUCAUACACAAAUGACUCUCGAACUCAACUCUUGUUUUUGUAGACCAUUUUUUUAUGAUUUAUUUAAAAUUGUUUAUUUUAUUUCGGUAUCCAAUCACAUCGUGAAAAAGAUUGGUGGCGACUCCUAUUUUGUUUUGAAAUUAACCCGUUUUAAGGACGUCGGUCGCUCUGCGUCGUCUCGAGCACGUGGCGACAUUAUGUAUUGGUGGAAAAUGAAUGGGUACAAAUAUCCCAUUCUAUCAACAAUUGUUCGUGAUGUUUUGACGGUUUCAAUAUCUAUGGUGGCUUUUGAAUUUGCAUUUAGUACAGGUGGGAGGAUUCUUUAUUACUUUCGUAGUUUUCUGACUUCUAGAACAGUCGAAACCUUGAUAUGUACACAAAAUUGGAUUUGAUGCAGUUGGGUGUUAUUAUAUCUUCAUCAUCAACUUGAAGAGUUAGAGACUUGUGAGAAUAUUGAGACAGGGAGAACAAUCACCCAAAAUCGUCAUCGUCGUGGUACACUUUGGACGCCAAGUUGAAAUCUUUUUUUAAUGAACUUUAAACAUUUUAAUGUAUUUUUAAUGGACAUUAUUUAAUUUUGAACUUUUCAAACUAUUUUUCAAUUUGAAUGGACAUUAUUGAACUUUAAACUUUUGAA